rnacentral:rRNA from 1 species
UUAAGCGACUAAGCGUACACGGUGGAUGCCCUGGCAGUCAGAGGCGAUGAAGGACGUGCUAAUCUGCGAUAAGCGUCGGUAAGGUGAUAUGAACCGUUAUAACCGGCGAUUUCCGAAUGGGGAAACCCAGUGUGUUUCGACACACUAUCAUUAACUGAAUCCAUAGGUUAAUGAGGCGAACCGGGGGAACUGAAACAUCUAAGUACCCCGAGGAAAAGAAAUCAACCGAGAUUCCCCCAGUAGCGGCGAGCGAACGGGGAGCAGCCCAGAGUCUGAAUCAGUGUGUGUGUUAGUGGAAGCGUCUGGAAAGGCGCGCGAUACAGGGUGACAGCCCCGUACACAAAAAUGCACAUGCUGUGAGCUCGAUGAGUAGGGCGGGACACGUGGUAUCCUGUCUGAAUAUGGGGGGACCAUCCUCCAAGGCUAAAUACUCCUGACUGACCGAUAGUGAACCAGUACCGUGAGGGAAAGGCGAAAAGAACCCCGGCGAGGGGAGUGAAAAAGAACCUGAAACCGUGUACGUACAAGCAGUGGGAGCACGCUUAGGCGUGUGACUGCGUACCUUUUGUAUAAUGGGUCAGCGACUUAUAUUCUGUAGCAAGGUUAACCGAAUAGGGGAGCCGAAGGGAAACCGAGUCUUAACUGGGCGUUAAGUUGCAGGGUAUAGACCCGAAACCCGGUGAUCUAGCCAUGGGCAGGUUGAAGGUUGGGUAACACUAACUGGAGGACCGAACCGACUAAUGUUGAAAAAUUAGCGGAUGACUUGUGGCUGGGGGUGAAAGGCCAAUCAAACCGGGAGAUAGCUGGUUCUCCCCGAAAGCUAUUUAGGUAGCGCCUCGUGAAUUCAUCUCCGGGGGUAGAGCACUGUUUCGGCAAGGGGGUCAUCCCGACUUACCAACCCGAUGCAAACUGCGAAUACCGGAGAAUGUUAUCACGGGAGACACACGGCGGGUGCUAACGUCCGUCGUGAAGAGGGAAACAACCCAGACCGCCAGCUAAGGUCCCAAAGUCAUGGUUAAGUGGGAAACGAUGUGGGAAGGCCCAGACAGCCAGGAUGUUGGCUUAGAAGCAGCCAUCAUUUAAAGAAAGCGUAAUAGCUCACUGGUCGAGUCGGCCUGCGCGGAAGAUGUAACGGGGCUAAACCAUGCACCGAAGCUGCGGCAGCGACGCUUAUGCGUUGUUGGGUAGGGGAGCGUUCUGUAAGCCUGUGAAGGUGUGCUGUGAGGCAUGCUGGAGGUAUCAGAAGUGCGAAUGCUGACAUAAGUAACGAUAAAGCGGGUGAAAAGCCCGCUCGCCGGAAGACCAAGGGUUCCUGUCCAACGUUAAUCGGGGCAGGGUGAGUCGACCCCUAAGGCGAGGCCGAAAGGCGUAGUCGAUGGGAAACAGGUUAAUAUUCCUGUACUUGGUGUUACUGCGAAGGGGGGACGGAGAAGGCUAUGUUGGCCGGGCGACGGUUGUCCCGGUUUAAGCGUGUAGGCUGGUUUUCCAGGCAAAUCCGGAAAAUCAAGGCUGAGGCGUGAUGACGAGGCACUACGGUGCUGAAGCAACAAAUGCCCUGCUUCCAGGAAAAGCCUCUAAGCAUCAGGUAACAUCAAAUCGUACCCCAAACCGACACAGGUGGUCAGGUAGAGAAUACCAAGGCGCUUGAGAGAACUCGGGUGAAGGAACUAGGCAAAAUGGUGCCGUAACUUCGGGAGAAGGCACGCUGAUAUGUAGGUGAAGUCCCUCGCGGAUGGAGCUGAAAUCAGUCGAAGAUACCAGCUGGCUGCAACUGUUUAUUAAAAACACAGCACUGUGCAAACACGAAAGUGGACGUAUACGGUGUGACGCCUGCCCGGUGCCGGAAGGUUAAUUGAUGGGGUCAGCGCAAGCGAAGCUCUUGAUCGAAGCCCCGGUAAACGGCGGCCGUAACUAUAACGGUCCUAAGGUAGCGAAAUUCCUUGUCGGGUAAGUUCCGACCUGCACGAAUGGCGUAAUGAUGGCCAGGCUGUCUCCACCCGAGACUCAGUGAAAUUGAACUCGCUGUGAAGAUGCAGUGUACCCGCGGCAAGACGGAAAGACCCCGUGAACCUUUACUAUAGCUUGACACUGAACAUUGAGCCUUGAUGUGUAGGAUAGGUGGGAGGCUUAGAAGUGUGGACGCCAGUCUGCAUGGAGCCGACCUUGAAAUACCACCCUUUAAUGUUUGAUGUUCUAACGUGGACCCGUAAUCCGGGUUGCGGACAGUGUCUGGUGGGUAGUUUGACUGGGGCGGUCUCCUCCUAAAGAGUAACGGAGGAGCACGAAGGUUGGCUAAUCCUGGUCGGACAUCAGGAGGUUAGUGCAAUGGCAUAAGCCAGCUUGACUGCGAGCGUGACGGCGCGAGCAGGUGCGAAAGCAGGUCAUAGUGAUCCGGUGGUUCUGAAUGGAAGGGCCAUCGCUCAACGGAUAAAAGGUACUCCGGGGAUAACAGGCUGAUACCGCCCAAGAGUUCAUAUCGACGGCGGUGUUUGGCACCUCGAUGUCGGCUCAUCACAUCCUGGGGCUGAAGUAGGUCCCAAGGGUAUGGCUGUUCGCCAUUUAAAGUGGUACGCGAGCUGGGUUUAGAACGUCGUGAGACAGUUCGGUCCCUAUCUGCCGUGGGCGCUGGAGAACUGAGGGGGGCUGCUCCUAGUACGAGAGGACCGGAGUGGACGCAUCACUGGUGUUCGGGUUGUCAUGCCAAUGGCACUGCCCGGUAGCUAAAUGCGGAAGAGAUAAGUGCUGAAAGCAUCUAAGCACGAAACUUGCCCCGAGAUGAGUUCUCCCUGACUCCUUGAGAGUCCUGAAGGAACGUUGAAGACGACGACGUUGAUAGGCCGGGUGUGUAAGCGCAGCGAUGCGUUGAGCUAACCGGUACUAAUGAACCGUGAGGCUUAACCUU